UUUUGACCAGAUAGUUUUAGUUUGUCAAAGCUCGCGUCUCGUGGUUGAAAGAAGUCUUUAAAGAUCGAAUUAUGAAGCUUAAAAGCACAGAAUCAAAGUCAAAGACAGAAUUAUGGUAUGUUCUAUCUAUUUUACUGUGAUAUUCCAGCCAGUAUAAAUGGGUUUGCAAUUACUAGCUUGUCGAAGUUAAUGACGCAAGUCGCUUAUCUUUGCUUUGGGCCGCACCGCGUGCUGUCACAAUCGUCUCGUCCAGCCAUUAUAAGACACUGAAUUAAGCCUUGGUUUUGUCGUCUUUACGUUAUUUGGUAGAGAAAUGUUUGAUGAGGUAUUUAAGGGUGUUUUGUAGCUAAUUUUGUUUUAAAAUUUGUCAUUUUAGUGGAAGCAAGAAAUGUGAAUUUUUAACCAUGCUGGCGUCACGGCUCAACGGCCAAGCUGCCUAUGCCAAGUCAAGGAAAAUCGCCCUCUUGCUCGAAUGUUAAAAGCAAAAUUAAACGAGAAAUGUUGAAGUCUCAACGUCAAGUGAAGCUAAAUACUCGAGGUACGUAAUUUUCUGUUUUAUAUAAAAGCCAUGUUCAUCGGUUUCGGCGAUGCCGUAUAAAACUAUUUGAAACUGCUUGUCGAAGUAGGCUAAAGUUGCUUUGCCCGCUGCCUUUUAAAUUAAUAGAAAAAUGUUAUGAUAAAAUUUCGGGGUGUUUUGUAGCUAAAUUUGUUUUAAAAUUUGUCGUUUUAGUGAAAACAAGAAAUGUCCAAUUCUCAGUCUCAUGAGUCGUGGGAUCAUGUCAAGCAAACGCGUUCUUGCCUGAAUUUAAAAACCAAAGACUCGCUAGUGAUUUCAGCCCAAACAAGAGACAGAAGAAACGCGAACACGACUAACGUUUGAUUGAAAUUGACCAUGGCCAGUCGCGGUUCGUGUCAUUAGAAGAGCAACACAGCGCAUUCUAUUCUGGUUGACCUGCUGGCUACAUCGUGUGCAUCAGAGGAAACAGUAUACCAUCACUCCAGAAAUCGGUGCCUCAAUCUUUGAGAACAACGCUCGAAUGCUAUAAGGUAAUGAAAAUUUAAAUUUCUCUUUUCUUUGUGAACUUUAAAGAUAUUACUCCAAAUAUUACUCUGACAGACGCUCUCUCUAAAAGACGCCCCUUCUCUAACAAAGCUUCUUUCCCAUUUUAAAAAUGGAAAUUUGAUAAACGAUGCAUCAAUUUUAUUUGUUGUUAAAAUUUUUCUUUCUAAUUUUACUUUUAGGUUGAAUGAAUCAGGAUGUGAGUCGCUGGCGAACCCAAUAACCCCACACUGCGGGAGGCAGUCACGUAUUUUAAUCUACACAGUUUUUUUAUUUUUAUUGCCAUUUAUGUUUAUUGUUUUCAUAUCUGUAUAUCAUGAUGUGACAUUGAGACUGAAGGAGUUAAGAGAGUCCCACUCGCCUGCAUGCCUUCUCAAUAUUGUUAAACUCCGUUUACAUGCUACCAUUUCAACAUUCAGAUGUAUUUUGAGAUUAAAACAGCAACUAUAUAGAGCCCAACUAUAUGUUCAUGGCUCAAGUUGACAUACUCGUUUAUUUCUAAACAUUUCGGAGAAAGAAAUUCUAGAGGCCAGCUAUAUAGUCUAUAUAGUCAUGGCUCCUAAUUUAUAUGGCUCCUAAUUUAUACUGGUAUUUAUAGAACUAGUUAAUUGAAAUUUAUAGAGAAAUCAAUUAUCGAGCUUUGAGCCCAACUAUACAUGUUCAUGACUUCUGUGUUUAUACUAGUCGUAUUUACGUGAAUUAUGCUUAAUUGUAAAGUUAGGGAAAGUUAUUAUCGAAAACUAUAUGUUACAACGGUCCUGAGUUUAUACUCGUGUUUAUAAUUCAAAUUGGCAGAAUUAUAGGGCAAUGUAUAGAGCCAAACUAUAUGUUCAUGACUUUGAGUUUAAACUAAUAUUUAUAUAAAUUAUGCUUACUUGAAAUUGGAGGAAGCACAGCAUAUAUAUAUAGAGGCCAACUAUAUAUGUUCAUGACUUUGAGUUUAUAUUCGUGAUUUAUGAAUUAAUAAAAAUACAUUGUACUUCAUUGAAAUUG